rnacentral:rRNA from 1 species
UGAGGAAUAUUGGUCAAUGGGCGAGAGCUUGAACCAGCCAAGUCGCGUGAAGGAAGACUGCCUUAUGGGUUGUAAACUUCUUUUAUACAGGAAUAAAAAGGCUUACGUGUAGGCCAUUGCAAGUACUGUAUGAAUAAGCAUCGGCUAACUCCGUGCCAGCAGCCGCGGUAAUACGGAGGAUGCGAGCGUUAUCCGGAUUUAUUGGGUUUAAAGGGUGCGCAGGCGGGCUUUUAAGUCAGCGGUGAAAUCUGGACGCUUAACGUCCAAACUGCCGUUGAAACUGGGAGUCUUGAGUAUGGAUGAAGUAGGCGGAAUUCGUUGUGUAGCGGUGACAUGCAUAGAUAUAACGAGGAACUCCGAUUGCGUAGGCAGCUUACUAAGCCAUAACUGACGCUCAUGCACGAAAGCGUGGGGAUCAAACAGGAUUAGAUACCCUGGUAGUCCACGCCGUAAAACGAUGAUUACUAGUUGUAUGCGAUAUGAUAGUAUGUGACUAAGCGAAAGCGAUAAGUAAUCCACCUGGGGAGUACGCCGGCAACGGUGAAACUCAAAGGAAUUGAC